rnacentral:rRNA from 1 species
UGGGGAAUUUUGCGCAAUGGGGGAAACCCUGACGCAGCAACGCCGCGUGAGUGAUGAAGGCCUUCGGGUCGUAAAGCUCUGUCAGAGGGGAAGAAAUGCAGGGGUGCUAAUAUCAUCUUUGCUUGACGGUACCCUCAAAGGAAGCACCGGCUAACUCCGUGCCAGCAGCCGCGGUAAUACGGAGGGUGCGAGCGUUGUUCGGAAUUAUUGGGCGUAAAGCGCGUGUAGGCGGUUUGGUAAGUCUGAUGUGAAAGCCCCGGGCUCAACCUGGGAAGUGCAUUGGAAACCGUCAGACUUGAAUACGGGAGAGGGUAGUGGAAUUCCUAAUGUAGGAGUGAAAUCCGUAGAUAUUAGGAGGAACACCGGUGGCGAAGGCGGCUACCUGGACCGAUAUUGACGCUGGGACGCGAAAGCGUGGGGAGCAAACAG